AUUGAACGCUGGCGGCAGGCCUAACACAUGCAAGUAGAACGAGUGGCGGACGGGUGAGUAAUGUCUGGGAAACUGCCUGAUGGAGGGGGAUAACUACUGGAAACGGUAGCUAAUACCGCAUACCAUCGGAUGUGCCCAGAUGGGAUUAGCUAGUAGGUGGGGUAAAGGCUAACCUAGGCGACGAUCCCUAGCUGGUCUGAGAGGAAGACCAGCACCACAUGAACUGAGACACGGUCCAGACUCCUACGUGAGGCAGCAGUGGGGAAGAGUGCACAAUGGGCGCAAUCCGGAUGCAGCCAUGCCGCGUGUAUGACGAAGGCCUUCGGGUUGUAAAGUACUUUCAGCGGGGAGGCGUUACCCGCAGAAGAAGCACCGGCUAACUCCGUGCCAGCAGCCGCGGUAAUUC
rnacentral:rRNA from 1 species